rnacentral:rRNA from 1 species
CCAAUAGCGUAUAUUAAAGUUGUUGCAGUUAAAAAGCUCGUAGUUGAAUUUCGGGGUUAGUAGGUUGGUCAUGCCUCUGGUAUGUACUGGUCUCACUGAUUCCUCCUUCCUGAUGAACCUUAAUGCCAUUAAUUUGGUGUUUUGGGGAAUUUGGACUGUUACUUUGAAAAAAUUAGAGUGUUUAAAGCAAGCUAACGCUUGAAUACAUUAGCAUGGAAUAAUGAAAUAGGACGUUCGAUCCUAUUUUGUUGGUUUCUAGGAUUGACGUAAUGAUGAAUAGGGAUAGUUGGGGGCAUUAGUAUUCAAUUGUCAGAGGUGAAAUUCUUGGAUUUAUUGAAGACUAACUACUGCGAAAGCAUUUGCCAAGGAUGUUUUCAUUAAUCAAGAACGAAAGUUAGGGGAUCGAAGACGAUCAGAUACCGUCGUAGUCUUAACCAUAAACUAUGCCGACUAGGGAUCGGAUGAUGUUAAUUUUCUAAUGACUCAUUCGGCGCCUUACG